ACCUUCGUGGUGCAGUGCUCAGCAUACUCGACGCGUAUUCGAGAGGUCCGUGGUUCAAGUCCCGGCGAGGGCA
rnacentral:tRNA from 1 species